CCUACGGGUGGCAGCAGUGAGGAAUAUUGCACAAUGGACGAGAGUCUGAACCAGCCAAGUAGCGUGAAGGAUGACUGCCCUAUGGGUUGUAAACUUCUUUUAUAUGGGAAUAAAAUGUUCCACGUGUGGGAUUUUGUAUGUACCAUAUGAAUAAGAAUCGGCUAACUCAGUGCCAGCCGCCGCGGUAAUACGGAGGAUCCGAGCGUUAUCCGGAUUUAUUGGGUGUAAGGGGAGCGUAGGUGGAUUGUUAAGUCAGUUGUGAAAGUUUGGGGCUUAACCUUAAAAUUGCAUUUGAAACUGGCAGGCUUGAGUACAGUAGAGGUGGGCGGAAUUCGUGGUGGAGCGGUGAAAUGCUUAGAGAUCACGAAGAACUCCGAUUGCGAAGGCAGCUCACUGGACUGGAACUGACACUGAGGUUCGAAAGUGUGGGUAUCAAACAGGAUUAGAUACCCGAGUAGUC
rnacentral:rRNA from 1 species